CAUGACAUGGGCAAUACACAUCCAACAUGAAAUGCUUGAUUCAUCAAAACAUCCAAGAGAAGUGCAUAGAUGAACCGUAAGGGCUGAAUUCGACGAUUAGCAAUGGAUUACAAUCGAUACGGCGCGUUCUUUUGACUAUAUAUACGCAUCGACGCGGGGUUCUCUGCUCAUCGAUUCGGCAACAAUCUCAGACGCCCUUGUCAAGCAAAAGCCGGCCAACACUGCGAGAUGGAGCAGAAGCACCAGGAGGUUCCAGCUUCAUCUGCCCGUGUCAACCGCAGAGCGAGUGAGAAGGGGAGAGAGAACGAUGAGACAAGAGUAACAAGGAAGAGGUUGGACAUGGAUGCCAAUGCAGACAUAAAUGAGCUGGCAGACGCUUUCAUCAGGAACUUCCGGAACCAGCUAAGGAUUCAGCGCGAGGAAUCGCUCAAACGGUUCCAGGAAAUGAUCUCCAGAGGAGUCUGAAUGAUCACUGUCCUUGUGCUUAUUGGACCGUGAACCCAAUUGAAGAAGGUCAAGUAAUGAAUGUUGAUUGUUGGAUCGUACCAUACUAUAGUUUUCCUCGCUUCUUGUCUUUAAAUGGCUAACCAUGCAAACAACAUUUGAAGUCAUCUCUGUAAGAAUUAUACCUUUGCAAUAAGGACUGUCUCGAUUGUCAUCGAUUGUC